rnacentral:lncRNA from 1 species
AGUGAACAGCCAUUUAAUCGCGUGCAGGGAGUAGGUGAUUGUUGGUAGGUGUUGUUGCUGGUAGAUGUGACUUAUGUUGGGAUUUAGCAUGAGCAGAUCACCAGGAUUUUUGAUGGAUGGACUUCCCAUGGGUGUUGACGAGCUGCCAGGAUUUAGUCAAAUAGAGGACUCUCACGGGGGUGUAGUCCACGACUUAAGCCUUAAGCUAGGUUGGGCUGUAGUUCUUGUAUUGGGUGAACCCCAAGCAUUGAACAGCCGUUCAAUGGCGUGCAG